GUCGACUCGAAGUCUUGAGGAGCUGACCCCUCAAAAUAAGGGGGAGAUUAGAGUCGACUCAAGAGCUAACUCAAAGCUCUGCUGGGUGUUGAGGAGCCGACUCGCAUUAAAUGAUGAGUCAACUUUGAGGCAGCGGUCAACCUCCUAGGUCAACACCUAAAAGCCCUACUCUCCUUUAUCGAAGCUGACCUUUCACUUUUCCUUCUUCAUUGCUUUGAAAUCUCUCUUCUUCUUUGUGAGUUACCGAGCAAAUCUGCUCCAUGUUCUCUCAAAUCAAUUUGCUCUCCUCUCUUCA
rnacentral:lncRNA from 1 species